GACGAACGCUGGCGGCGUGCCUAAUACAUGCAAGUCGAACGCUGAGGGAGGAGCUUGCUUCUCUGGAUGAGUGGCGAACGGGUGAGUAACGCGUAGGUAACCUGCCUUGUAGCGGGGGAUAACUAUUGGAAACGAUAGCUAAUACCGCAUAAUAGUAGAUGUUGCAUGACAUUUGCUUAAAAGGUGCAAUUGCUUCACUACCAGUUGGACCUGCGUUGGAUUAGGUAGUUGGUGCGGUAACGGAACACCAAGGCGGCGAUGCAUCGCCGAACGGGGAUGGGGGGUGGCCAGCCUGGGACGGUGACACGGCACAUUGGCCUACGGGUGGCGGCAGGAGGGAAACGGGGGCAAUGGAUGGAAGACUGACCGAGCAAGGCCGCGGGAGGGAAGAAGAAUGUCGGAUGCGAAAGGUCGGUUGUAAGGGAAGAACGAGUGUGAGAGUGGAAAGUUCACACUGUGACGGUAACUGAUCAGAAAGCGACGGCUAACUACGUG
rnacentral:rRNA from 1 species